GCGGGGGUCGCCAAGUCUGGUCAAACAACUUUUUGGCAAGCGCAAGCAAAAGGCUUGACCCAAAAGAGGACCAUAGGCGGUAGGCUCAAGAUCUACUCUCAUAGGAGUUCGCGGGUUCAAAUCCCUCCCCCCGCA
rnacentral:tRNA from 1 species